rnacentral:lncRNA from 1 species
AUGGAGAAAAGUGACUUUUUCAUGCCCCGACAGAGACUGGGUGUUGAAACUGGUUUCAGAAGUCAUAUCCUGCCGGGUGCACACCCUGCGAGCGCCAAGGCCAGGAUCCACUACUCAGGAUUUGCCAAACGCGCGGCGUCCUGGAUGCACACGACUUCACACACGCACACGCACCCACGAGGACGGGAGAGCAACUCCGUCCUCGGCAGCGAAUUCUACCCCCUGAAGUUACCCUCGUCCAUUCUCUUCAGGGCCCUUUUGCAUUUCAUGAGCGGAUUUCUCGGCAUAAACAACGCAGCACCCAGCGAUGCGUCUCGGAGUCAAAAACAUACGUUCGCUAUUUUUAUUUUUUUUAUUUUUUUUUUUUUUAAUUUUUAUUUAUUUAUGAUAGUCACACAGAGAGAGAGAGAGAGAGAGAGAGAGGCAGAGACACAGGCAGAGGGAGAAGCAGGCUCCAUGCACCGGGAGCCCGAUGUGGGAUUCGAUCCUGGGUCUCCAGGAUCGCGCCCUGGGCCAAAGGCAGGCGCCAAACCGCUGCGCCACCCAGGGAUCCCGACGUUCGCUAUUUUUAAAGCCGCAGCGCAGAAGUCGGCGCGCAGGGACCCGGGCUCCUCCCGGAGCGGUGGUGGGCGGGGAGCGAGGACCGAGACUACGUGCUGGGGAGGGAACAGCCUGGCCUCCCGCUUCCCCGAGCGCCAGCGCCGGCCCCCUGGGGGCGCGCUCCUCCGAGCACCCUGGGGCUCCCCGGUCCCCAGCGAAUUGGCGCGCUCGGGACUCGCAGCGCCCGGGCGGCGUCGGACCUGCCAACCCGCGCCCCCUCGCCCCCGCCCGGAGGAGGGCUCGGCCGCCGGGUCCCCCGGCCCAGGAGGGAUCGGGAGGGACGGAGAAGCCAAGCAGGUGGCGAUUAGGUCAGCCUGGGAACAUUCUUGGGCCGCUCCAGUGGAUAUAAAUAACAGGCAGGCAGGCUGCGAAAAAUCCCGGGGUGGGGGCACCGGGGGUGGGGCAGAAGGGACUUCUUAA